GGCUCAGGAUGAACGCUGGCGGCGUGCCUAAUACAUGCAAGUCGAACGAACUUCCGUUAAUUGAUUAUGACGUACUUGUACUGAUUGAGAUUUUAACACGAAGUGAGUGGCGAACGGGUGAGUAACACGUGGGUAACCUGCCCAGAAGUAGGGGAUAACACCUGGAAACAGAUGCUAAUACCGUAUAACAGAGAAAACCGCAUGGUUUUCUUUUAAAAGAUGGCUCUGCUAUCACUUCUGGAUGGACCCGCGGCGUAUUAGCUAGUUGGUGAGGUAAAGGCUCACCAAGGCAGUGAUACGUAGCCGACCUGAGAGGGUAAUCGGCCACAUUGGGACUGAGACACGGCCCAGACUCCUACGGGAGGCAGCAGUAGGGAAUCUUCCACAAUGGACGCAAGUCUGAUGGAGCAACGCCGCGUGAGUGAAGAAGGGUUUCGGCUCGUAAAGCUCUGUUGUUAAAGAAGAACGUGGGUAAGAGUAACUGUUUACCCAGUGACGGUAUUUAACCAGAAAGCCACGGCUAACUACGUGCCAGCAGCCGCGGUAAUACGUAGGUGGCAAGCGUUAUCCGGAUUUAUUGGGCGUAAAGCGAGCGCAGGCGGUCUUUUAAGUCUAAUGUGAAAGCCUUCGGCUCAACCGAAGAAGUGCAUUGGAAACUGGGAGACUUGAGUGCAGAAGAGGACAGUGGAACUCCAUGUGUAGCGGUGAAAUGCGUAGAUAUAUGGAAGAACACCAGUGGCGAAGGCGGCUGUCUGGUCUGCAA
rnacentral:rRNA from 1 species